CGAAAAACGUUUAUUUAUUUAAUAGUGUAAUUAAUUUGUUAAUGUUCUCCAUUAGUACAAAUUGACCCACUAAAAAGCAAAUUGUUUACUGUAGUGUUUCUUGUUGAUUUUUCACUUUGGACGAUUUUGAAGUUAGUUAAGAAAGAUUAUAAAACCUGUGGAUGUCAUCCCUUGCAUAGCAUUGGUUGUAUCAGUCCUUUUUCACUCCAGAAAUUAACACAACCUGAAGUCAUAAGAAAGCGUGAGAGUGCCUUUUUUCCAUGGGGAACGGAGAUAGUGUGUCGUUGCUAAAAAAAGAAUUUCUGACAAGGAACUGAUUGAUGAUAAAUAAGAAUGAAAAAGCAAGUUGUCUGCCAUGGUUCGUUUCAUUUUGGAGGAUCUAAUUAAUUACGGAACAUUAAAAAAAACCUGGAUAGCACAUUAAUUUACAGUGCCUUGGUUGUGUCAGUGUUCAUUCGGUUCAGUGAGUAGCUGUCCUAAAAAGAAGCACAAAAGUGCCUUUUUUCGAUUGGGAACGAAUACAGUGUGGCAUUGCUGAAGGAAGGAUUUAUGACGAAUGAACUGUUUGUCCGAGUGAGAAGAAAUUACAGCUAAUUCUGAUGGUACUCAAAGAGCCGAUGCUUUUGACGUCUUACUAUUGCAACAUAAUUUUGAACCUGAAAGGGCGAGGCAUUUGAAACUUAAUUUGGAAAUGACUAAAACAACAACUUGUCUGCAAUGGUAUUCCUUCUGGAUUUGGCUUGUUCAUUCUACCUGUGAACCUUAUGAAGCUACUUUCUGCAGUUAAUUAAGAUUGCCCAACAAAUGAGUUCAAUUUGGCGCUACUCGAACAACCGUCUACAUGGGUGUGGUCUUUUCUGGACUUUGUUCCUGAUUUGAUAUUUUCAUCUUCACUUCUCCACACUAUGCAGUUGAUUUUCAACCGAUUAGUGGGAGCAACUAAGGAUCUAUUUGAUUUCAAAUGGAACAACAAAAUUUCUGCUGUGGUGCUUCUCCUGGAUUUAGUUUGCUCUUCACACCUGCAAACAGUUGCAGUCUGCAGUUAAUUAAGAUCGACGUUGGAGAAGACAAAGAUGACCCCAUAGUUGAAAUAGUUCUUUUAUCUUGCAUGCUGUAUCUGGUUAAUUAAGUUCAUUUUAUUCAAAUUAAUUUUUUAUUUUGCAUGUUUUGUUGUAGUUAAUUUGAAUUAAUUUUUAUU